AUACGGGCAGACUGGAGUACUGCAGGGGAGACUGGAAUUCCUGGUGUAGCGAUGGAAUGCGCAGAUAUCAGGAGGAACACCGGUGGCGAAGGCGGGUCUCUGGGCAGUAACUGACGCUGAGGAGCGAAAGCGUGGGGAGCGAAACAGGAUUAGAUACCCUGGUAGUCCACGCCGUAAACGGGUGGGUACUAGGUGUGGGUUUCCUUCCUUGGGAUCCGUGCCGUAGCUAACGCAUUAAGUACCCCGCCUGGGGAGUACGGCCGCAAGGCUAAAACUCAAAGAAAUUGACGGGGGCCCGCACAAGCGGCGGAGCAUGUGGAUUAAUUCGAUGCAACGCGAAGAACCUUACCUGGGUUUGACAUGCACAGGACGUGCCUAGAGAUAGGUAUUCCCUUGUGGCCUGUGUGCAGGUGGUGCAUGGCUGUCGUCAGCUCGUGUCGUGAGAUGUUGGGUUAAGUCCCGCAACGAGCGCAACCCCUAUCUUAUGUUGCCAGCGCGUCAUGGCGGGGACUCGUAAGAGACUGCCGGGGUCAACUCGGAGGAAGGUGGGGAUGACGUCAAGUCAUCAUGCCCCUUAUGUCCAGGGCUUCACACAUGCUACAAUGGCCGGUACAAAGGGCUGCGAUGCCGUGAGGUGGAGCGAAUCCUUUAAAGCCGGUCUCAGUUCGGAUCGGGGUCUGCAACUCGACCCCGUGAAGUCGGAGUCGCUAGUAAUCGCAGAUCAGCAACGCUGCGGUGAAUACGUUCCCGGGCCUUGUACACACCGCCCGUCACGUCAUGAAAGUCGGUAACAC
rnacentral:rRNA from 1 species